rnacentral:rRNA from 6 species
UCCGGUGGCCAUAGCGAGAGUGAAACACCCGUUCCCAUUCCGAACACGGAAGUUAAGCCUCUUGCGCCGAUGGUACUGGCUAACGGCCGGGAGAGUAGGUCACUGCCGGGA